CUGGCGGUAUGCUUAACACAUGCAAGUCGAACGAGAAACUUGCUUAGAUCCUCGGGAUGAAAAGUGAGGAAGAAAGUGGCGAACGGGUGAGUAACGCGUGGGCAACCUACCUCACGGAAAGGGAUAGCCUCGGGAAACCGGGAGUAAAACCAUAUAAGACCACAGCGUCGCAUGACGCAGGGGUCAAAACUCCGGUGCCGUGAGAUGGGCCCGCGUCCCAUUAGCUAGUUGGCAGGGUAAAGGCCUACCAAGGCGACGAUGGGUAGCCGGUCUGAGAGGGCGAACGGCCACAUUGGAACUGAGACACGGUCCAAACUCCUACGGGAGGCAGCAGUGGGGAAUAUUGCGCAAUGGGGGAAACCCUGACGCAGCAAUACCGCGUGAGCGAAGAAGGUUUUCGGAUCGUAAAGCUCUGUUAUCGGGGAAGAAGAAGUGACGGUACCCGAUGAGGAAGUCCCGGCUAACUACGUGCCAGCAGCGGC
rnacentral:rRNA from 1 species